rnacentral:snRNA from 1 species
GUACUUGCUUUGGCAGCUCAUUUGUUAAAAUUGGAAUGAUACAGGAAAAAUGAGCACGGCCCCUGUGCAGGGAUCAUGUGCAAAA